AUAAGAACAAUAUUUAAACUCUGUCCCUAAUUUUGGGCCUUUGUCUCCCAAUUAUUUUUGGCUUUGUCCAAAUUUAUUGCAAUGAGAAGAUGAGAGGUAUGAUUUUAGUUGUCUUCCAAAUGUGCUUGCAAGAUUAACAAACUUCAUUUGAGGUGGAUGCUAAAUUCUAGCAAGACUCACACACUACCUUAAAUAAAUAUUCUACAAAUGGUUGACUUUAUACUCCAAUAUUUGUCUGCCUGAUGCCAACUACCAUUCAGUUUUUAACAAGAAAGAAAUUAUUAUAACCUGAUAAUUUCUUGUUAGUGUGUAAUGCUGGAUAGCUUUCUAUAGCUACUGGUUGUUGAGAAAUGAACCUGAGAAACAUCCUAAAGUAAUUUAAAAUCUGAGGAUAUAUCUAUAAAACAAAAAUCUUGCAUGGCUGGGUUUUACGUUAGCAGCAAUAGACAGAGAAAACUAUAUAUAUAUAUAUAUAUAUAUAUAUAUAUAUAUAUAUAUAUAUAUAUAUAUAGCCUGAGGGACACUGUAUUCAAGUGGAAAUGCUCAGGGUAAGAAAAACAGUCUGUUGUUUUAGAUCUGUGUGGUCUCAGUAUUUGAUGUACUCACAUAUUACAAGCGUAUCCAAUUGUGAUGUUAAAAGAUGUGGCACAGAACUUCAGAGUAGUGGAUUAACAAUCAUUACACCUGCCAGUUGCACAUAAGUUAGCAGAUUCCAGCCACGUGCUUGGACAAAAUGUAUUUAAUGUAUGAGACUGACUUGAACAAAUCUGUGUUAACUGGAAAUUCCCUUGUUGUCAUUGAAAUUGUACAGACACUACUAUGAAAAACAUUUUUUUUAUAAACCACUCAAUGUGAUCAUUAAAAAUCAAAGAAUGAUGCAAGUUCUUUCCAUUAAA